UUAGCAUGUACAGGAGAAGCAGAAUGAAUAUGUUUUACUCCAAAUAUCACAUUCUAUACUGCUCUUUUAUUUACCUUCCUCCUAUUUAAAAAUUGGUUUCUGAAUUCCUGAUAGUUUAACCAAAAUUUUUUUCUUUUGUACAUUUUAUUCAUAGUUUUAUGAGAAAUAAGCAACUGACAAUUUAAAAAGUAGAUGUACCCUGAAAAAACUACUUUUAGAGGCCAAGCUUAGGAUCGGGGAUGAGCCCUAUUUCCUAAAUCUUUUGUAUUUUAAGUACAAUGCUAAUGUACAUAGAGGCUAAACUGCAGAGUUCUGAGCUUCUGAAUUAAUGACUACAUUAAAUUCAGAACACCUUUCACAUUAAGAAUAUUUAUCCUAAUUUUUGAAAAUAUUCUCUGGUUAAUCCAAAUGUUAAACCAGAAUAUUCCAUUUUUGACCACUCUGAAUAGGUUUUUUAGUGAAAUUGACAUAAAACCGUUUCUGCUUCUUAUGCAUUUCCCCUAUGAGCAGACAUGAAACCAUCUCAGAGAGAUAAAUAUGUCUUAUAUUUAAGUUUUCCCAAGGAUGUUGAUUUUAUAAAGAUUCAGUGUUAGUUACAUUUACACUGAAAAAGCUGUUUACGUAACAUGUUAGUUACAUUUACAUUGAAAAAGUUGUUUAUGUACCAUCCUUUCUGACUAUAAUUUAGGUCCAUAUAAUCUUUCUUAGUUCUUAUCAUGCAUAUAAGACAUUUACUUUAAAUCAUCUUAAGUCCCUUUUCUUUACUUUUUUCAUAAAUGCUUUUGCUCUUUUAAGUAACACCAAGCUUUUUAUAUUCUUUUCCAAAGCAGAGAUAAAGUAGAUAUGAAAUUUAAGUAAGAAGUUAAAAGAACACAAAGAAAAGAAAUAAGGGUUACUUCCUGAUUCUUCUGUGACUUAUUCCUAUCAGUAAAUUGGAGUACUGAAAUAAACCUGAUUACCUAGAUUUCGUUCAGGAAAUGAGGCAAUUAGGCAUCCUGUUUGUUUAAAAUGCUUCUAAAAUGUACAAGUACACUUUUCUACAUAGUAAACAUAGUAACAAACAGAAUACUGAUAUCAAUGUGAUUUUUUAAAUUUCUUUGCCUGGCUGCAU
rnacentral:lncRNA from 1 species